GGGUGCCUGAGGCUUUCUGGCUUCAGGUAUUAUUAUCAGACCCCGGAAAGAUGAAGGCCCCGAGUUAAUUACUUAACCCGAGGCCAACACAUGAACAACACAAUUCAGAUGUUAGCCUCUUACUCGCCGAAAGGCAAGGAGCAGAAGGCUAUGAAG
rnacentral:antisense_RNA from 1 species